AGCAGGAAGGAGUCCACUGGAGACCAGACCUGAAGUCUUCAUUGCACCUGCUGCUGAUGACUGACCGUGGAAAAGGAGGUUUGUGGUUCCUGGGUCCUUGCCAAGCCAGUUUUUCUCACUAACCAAGAGAAAACUAGUCUGACCUCCAAAAAGCAGCUAAUGGGGAAUGGAGUAAAGAAGGCAAAGCACGUGGGAAGAGUCAAACCCGAUGCACUCCAGGCAACGAUCCUCAUCCUUCAGCAUGUUGUCGAGGUG